rnacentral:rRNA from 1 species
GACGAACGCUGGCGGCGUGCUUAACACAUGCAAGUCGAGCGGAAAGGCCCUUUCGGGGGUACUCGAGCGGCGAACGGGUGAGUAACACGUGAGUAAUCUGCCCCUGGCUUUGGGCUAGCCACCGGAAACGGUGAUUAAUACCGGAUACGACCACUUCUCGCAUGGGAUGGUGGUGGAAAGUUUUUCGGCCAGGGAUGUGCUCGCGGCCUAUCAGCUUGAUGGUGAGGUAAUGGCUCACCAUGGCUUCGACGGGUAGCCGGCCUGAGAGGGUGACCGGUCACACUGGGACUGAGACACGGCCCAGACUCCUACGGGAGGCAGCAGUGGGGAAUAUUGGACAAUGGGCGGAAGCCUGAUCCAGCAACGCCGCGUGAGGGAUGAUGGCCUUCAGGUUGUAAACCUCUUUCAGCAGGGACGAAGCGCAAGUGACGGUACCUGCAGAAGAAGCACCGGCCAACUACGUGCCAGCAGCCGCCGUAA